rnacentral:tRNA from 2 species
GCCGCGUUAGCUCAGCGGUAGAGCAGCGGUUUUGUAAACCGAAGGUCGGGGGUUCAAUCCCCUCACGCGGCACCA